CUGCGGCCCUGGCCUGGCCUCGACCCGGCAGUGCCUGUGCCCCCUGCGCCCCCCAGAGCCCUAGUCCUGUGCACCACUCACUCUCCGUUGGUGAACAGCUCGGGUUGUAUUCCGGAACCGAAGCUGCUCAUUCAUCACACUGCUGCCACGACGCGUCUAUGAGCUUCCAGCAGUUCAGAGGUGAGAACUGUUGAGAUAGAUACAAGCUGAAAUAUCCAUUGGUCUCGCCGUCUCCACCUUCAAGAGGAAAUCCAAAAGGCGUUUCUGGCAUGUGUGGUGUUGCUUAGCAAUUCACGCAAACAAAUAUAUUUCCCUCUCAUUUUUUUCCCCAGCCC
rnacentral:lncRNA from 1 species